ACGGAGGGGGUUAGCGUUGUUCGGAAUUACUGGGCGUAAAGCGCACGUAGGCGGAUCAGAAAGUGUGGGGUGAAAUCCCAGGGCUCAACCCUGGAACUGCCCUGCAAACUAUUGGUCUAGAGUUCGAGAGAGGUAAGUGGAAUUCCGAGUGUAGAGGUGAAAUUCGUAGAUAUUCGGAGGAACACCAGUGGCGAAGGCGGCUUACUGGCUCGAUACUGACGCUGAGGUGCGAAAGUGUGGGGAGCAAACAGG
rnacentral:rRNA from 1 species